UGACGUGUUGCUCAGAGGUAGAGCGGUCGGCUGUUACCCGAUUGGUCGAUGGUUCGAUCCCAUCAGCGUCAGCCA
rnacentral:tRNA from 3 species